rnacentral:rRNA from 1 species
AGCGAACGCUGGCGGCAGGCCUAACACAUGCAAGUCGAACGAACUCUUCGGAGUUAGUGGCGGACGGGUGAGUAACACGUGGGAACGUGCCUUUUGGUUCGGAAUAACUCAGGGAAACUUGUGCUAAUACCGAAUGUGCCCUUCGGGGGAAAGAUUUAUCGCCAUUAGAGCGGUCCGCGUCUGAUUAGCUAGUUGGUGAGGUAACGGCUCACCAAGGCGACGAUCAGUAGCUGGUCUGAGAGGAUGACCAGCCACACUGGGACUGAGACACGGCCCAGACUCCUACGGGAGGCAGCAGUGGGGAAUCUUGCGCAAUGGGCGAAAGCCUGACGCAGCCAUGCCGCGUGAAUGAUGAAGGUCUUAGGAUUGUAAAAUUCCUUCACCGGGGACGAUAAUGACGGUACCCGGAGAAGAAGCCCCGGCUAACUUCGUG